rnacentral:tRNA from 1 species
GAACUUAGGUCAAUGUUAAACCAGAGGCCUUCAAAGCCCCAAAUAAGGGUUUAAAUCCCUUAGUUCUUG